AGGGUAAUAGUUAAAUAUAACAUUUAAUUUGCAUUUAAAAAGUACUGUACAUCAGUUUACCUUA
rnacentral:tRNA from 1 species